rnacentral:rRNA from 1 species
AGAGUUUGAUCCUGGCUCAGGACGAACGCUGGCGGCGUGCCUAAUACAUGCAAGUCGAGCGAAUCUGAGGGAGCUUGCUCCUGAAGAUUAGCGGCGGACGGGUGAGUAACACGUGGGCAACCUGCCCCUAAGAUUGGGAUAACUCCGGGAAACCGGUGCUAAUACCGAAUAGUUUCCAACGCCUCAUGGUGUUGGAAGGAAAGUUGGCUUCGGCUAACACUUAGGGAUGGGCCCGCGGCGCAUUAGCUAGUUGGUGAGGUAACGGCUCACCAAGGCAACGAUGCGUAGCCGACCUGAGAGGGUGAUCGGCCACACUGGGACUGAGACACGGCCCAGACUCCUACGGGAGGCAGCAGUAGGGAAUCUUCCGCAAUGGACGAAAGUCUGACGGAGCAACGCCGCGUGAGCGAAGAAGGCCUUCGGGUCGUAAAGCUCUGUUGUCAGGGAAGAACAAGUACCGUUCGAAUAGGACGGUACCUUGACGGUACCUGACCAGAAAGCCACGGCUAACUACGUGCCAGCAGCCGCGGUAAUACGUAGGCGGCAAGCGUUGUCCGGAAUUAUUGGGCGUAAAGCGCGCGCAGGCGGUCCUUUAAGUCUGAUGUGAAAGCCCACGGCUCAACCGUGGAGGGUCAUUGGAAACUGGAGGACUUGAGUGCAGAAGAGAAGAGUGGAAUUCCACGUGUAGCGGUGAAAUGCGUAGAGAUGUGGAGGAACACCAGUGGCGAAGGCGACUCUUUGGUCUGUAACUGACGCUGAGGCGCGAAAGCGUGGGGAGCAAACAGGAUUAGAUACCCUGGUAGUCCACGCCGUAAACGAUGAGUGCUAAGUGUUAGGGGGUUUCCGCCCCUUAGUGCUGCAGCUAACGCAUUAAGCACUCCGCCUGGGGAGUACGGCCGCAAGGCUGAAACUCAAAGGAAUUGACGGGGGCCCGCACAAGCAGUGGAUUAUGUGGUUUAAUUCGACGCAACGCGAAGAACCUUACCAGGGCUUGACAUCCAACUAACGAAGUAGAGAUACAUUAGGUGCCCUUCGGGGAAAGUUGAGACAGGUGGUGCAUGGUUGUCGUCAGCUCGUGUCGUGAGAUGUUGGGUUAAGUCCCGCAACGAGCGCAACCCUUAUCUUUAGUAGCCAGCGGUUUGGCCGGGCACUCUAGAGAGACUGCCAGGGAUAACCUGGAGGAAGGUGGGGAUGACGUCAAAUCAUCAUGCCCCUUAUGAUCAGGGCUACACACGUGCUACAAUGGCGUAAACAAAGGGAAGCAGAGCCGCGAGGCCGAGCAAAUCUCAAAAAUAACGUCUCAGUUCGGAUUGUAGUCUGCAACUCGACUACAUGAAGCUGGAAUCGCUAGUAAUCGCGAAUCAGAAUGUCGCGGUGAAUACGUUCCCGGGUCUUGUACACACCGCCCGUCA